rnacentral:rRNA from 1 species
AGCAGUCGCCGCGGUAAUACGAAGGGGGCUAGCGUUGCUCGGAAUGACUGGGCGUAAAGGGCGCGUAGGCGGCAUAUACAGUCAGGCGUGAAAUUCCCGGGCUUAACCUGGGGGCUGCGUUUGAUACGUAUGGGCUAGAGUGGGGAAGAGGGUUGUGGAAUUCCCAGUGUAGAGGUGAAAUUCGUAGAUAUUGGGAAGAACACCGGUGGCGAAGGCGGCAACCUGGUCCUUGACUGACGCUGAGGCGCGAAAGCGUGGGGAGCAAACAGGAUUAGAUACCCCCGUAGUCCCUGUCUCUUAUAC